AUUUUUUUUUGUCAGGCUCCUGGAGGUCCAGUAAUUUCACUUUAAUGGCAAUGAUUCUUUUCAUUGCCGUUAGUGCAAGUGCAAGUGCAAGCAAUUUCUGCAUAUAAAUAGUAUGCCACAUAGAAAUAGAAAACCAUGUUUCAAAUCUAUUCCAUAUUUUUAUUUUUUAUUUAAAAGUGUCUUUGCUGUGUAGCCUGUGAUAAAGACCUUUUAUCAAAUGUAAAGACAGAUUAGUGGUUCCAAAAUAUAGUUUUAUAGUUAUCAAGUCAGAAAUCAGUCUAGUCAGUUUAAUAUGAAUAGGUUCAAACUUAACUAUUUUAAUGGCUUGCAUCAAUUAAGUUGGUAGCAGAUCUUUAGCAUGAUGAGGUGAGUUCAUUCUGCUUGCAGAUGUUUAUGUAAUGCCCUAAGGAGAAAAAUAAACAUUACACUUAUCAUUUACAGAUGUGGCCAUGCGACGACUGAAGCUGGAAAUAUCGCUUUCUUGUUUGGAGGAGCUUCCAGCGUGAUCACAGAGGAACUUCAGGACGUGCUGAAACGACACAGGUCUCAGAACGAGGCGAGAACCACAGCGAGAGGAAGGAGCUUGUAAACUGAAU
ensembl:lncRNA